rnacentral:rRNA from 1 species
ACAAANNNUAGACAAUUCAAGAUUGCGAAAACGUGGGGGAGCAAAACAAGGAUUAGAUAACCCUGGGUAGUUCCACNCCGUAAACGAUAGUAUACUUGGAGGGUUGUGGCCUUGAACCGUGGGCUUUCGGAGCUAACGCGUUAAGUAGACGCCUGGGGAGUACGGUCGCAAGAAUUAAAACUCAAAUGAAAUUGACGGGGGCCCGCACAAGCGGUGGAGCAUGUGGUUUAAUUCGAUGCAACGCGAAGAACCUUACCUACUCUUGACAUCUACAGAAGCCAGCGGAGACGCAGGUGUGCCUUCGGGAACUGUAAGACAGGUGCUGCAUGGCUGUCGUCAGCUCGUGUUGUGAAAUGUUGGGUUAAGUCCCGCAACGAGCGCAACCCUUAUCCUUGUUUGCCAGCACUUCGGGUGGGAACUCCAGGGAGACUGCCGGUGAUAAACCGGAGGAAGGUGGGGACGACGUCAAGUCAUCAUGGCCCUUACGAGUAGGGCUACACACGUGCUACAAUGGCGCAUACAGAGGGCGGCCAACUUGCGAAAGUGAGCGAAUCCCAAAAAGUGCGUCGUAGUCCGGAUUGGAGUCUGCAACUCGACUCCAUGAAGUCGGAAUCGCUAGUAAUCGUGGAUCAGAAUGCCACGGUGAAUACGUUCCCGGGCCUUGUACACACCGCCCGUCACACCAUGGGAGUGGGCUGCAAAAGAAGUGGGUAGUUUAACCUUCGGGAGGACGCUCACCACUUUGUGGUUCAUGACUGGGGUGAAGUCGUAACAAGGUAACCG